AAACGGCCGCCAGCUUCCUUUUCCGUCGGCGACGGACCGAGGAGUCCGAGCGGGCUACCAUCGGCCAUGCGGUUGUUGGUGGCCGGGGAGCAGCGCCCGCGCGCGCGUCGCCGGGCUUUUCCAGAUGCAACAGAGCCUAUGAGUUGAAGAUGAAUGAAGGUUAUUAUGAAUGUUUUCCAAAAACUUGACAGAGGAUGACUAAACCCCCAGGAGCAUGUCUGCAUGUAACAAGGUAACUGCAAGUGAAUGAACAAGUUCUUAGCUGUGGUGUUUAAAAAUUCAUUGCCUCAGGUGUGGCCUGUGACAUUUUUGGAAGGAAAAACAAAGAAUUGGUCAAGAAGAUAAGAACUGGAACAAAUGAUGAAAAGUAAUAUUUUAUUUAACAAUGAUCAAUAAAAUUAUAUAGAAAAUCACAAUAAAGUUAUUAUAGAAAACACA